AUUCAGGGAAAAUCUCCCUUGCUAAGUUUAACUUUUUUUUUUUGGUCCAACACUCUAUCCCUCUUCAGUUUUGAAAGCUGCACGACACUUGAAUACAUUCAGAAGCUGAGGAAAAAAAUUACAAGUGCUACCAAAUAAAAAUACAAUUAUACUCCCUCUAUUCAUUUUACACCCCUAUCUUAAAAAUGAAUGUUUCAUAUAUACUUAUUUAUUUUUGUAAAUUAAAAGGGUUUU
rnacentral:lncRNA from 1 species